UGCGUAGGCGGGUCUUUAAGUCAGGGGUGAAAUCCUGGAGCUCAACUCCAGAACUGCCUUUGAUACUGAGGAUCUUGAGUCCGGGAGAGGUGAGUGGAACUGCGAGUGUAGAGGUGAAAUUCGUAGAUAUUCGCAAGAACACCAGUGGCGAAGGCGGCUCACUGGCCCGGGUACUGACGCUGAGGCACGAAAGCGUGGGGAGCAAACA
rnacentral:rRNA from 1 species